GAGCGGUUAGUUCAGCUGGUAGAACGCUACGUUGACAUCGUAGAGGUCGUUGGUUCGAGUCCAAUAUCGCUCACCA
rnacentral:tRNA from 1 species